rnacentral:rRNA from 1 species
UACAGAGGGGGCAAGCGUUGUUCGGAAUUACUGGGCGUAAAGGGCGCGUAGGCGGCCUUCUAAGUCGAACGUGAAAUCCCCGGGCUCAACCCGGGAACUGCGUCCGAUACUGGGAGGCUUGAAUCCGGGAGAGGGAUGUGGAAUUCCAGGUGUAGCGGUGAAAUGCGUAGAUAUCUGGAGGAACACCGGUGGCGAAGACGGCAUCCUGGACCGGUAUUGACGCUGAGGCGCGAAAGCCAGGGGAGCAAACGGG